rnacentral:lncRNA from 1 species
AAUCUGUGACUCUUGGUGUGAAUUAGAGGCUCUUUGAGCUGUUUAGCGCUCUUUAAGUAAUCGAGUGUAUUGCCUUGGCUUCCCCAUUCAUAAAAGAGGAGUUAGGGGUUCCCUCACCCAGCACAGUUGGCUAGAGCGGCUUGUAAGUGUGAGUGUGUACCUUUAGUGCGCAGCUGUGUGUGACGGUGUGGAGCCCAGAGCCUUUGGUUGUACUUUGGUAAUUGGCAUGGCUUUGGGGUUUUGGCCAUUAGGCCUCUUUACCAUUUGUUUGUUUUAGUUGGGCAGGUCUUGGACCUGGUAUCUGACUAAAUUGCUGCUCUUACUCCAAAUGGGUGAGCAGCUCACUUCCACAGACACUCUGGCACUGACGAGGGCUGUACACUGCAGAGAGGCCUAAGGGGUUUACAGAAAAGAGAGUACAUCUGCCCCGGAAACGGUCACAGAGUAGCAGGGAGAAGUAGUUUUGCAGUUGAUUUCGGGGCCACUGGCUCAAGUGUAGGUACUCCCCGUCUGUUAAAAGGAGUGUAUAAUAUGCUUUUAGCUUUACUUGGAUUUUUGCUUUUUGAGGUUUCAUUAUUUUACAUUUUUUAGUGCUAGACACUGAAUUUGGCUGUAAAAAGUACGGGUGUGCACUGCUGUCUUCAGUCUGUAGACAGAACAGUGGUGUAUGCUUCCUGUGGCUUGAGCCUGGGCCGUGGGUCUCACCCUGGACUCCCCCAAGGACUGUCACCUAAGCUUCAGGCCUUAUCACUCCCCAGGGUCCUGUAGAGCAAGAUGAAAAACCUUUGUCUUUUUGUUUUGGGUUUUGGCCCAGGGCCUGGUCUGUGGCUGCACAUUGCACAUAGUUGGCGAGUCUGUAGCCUUAUUUAAUCCAGAGUGGCUCCUCUGUGCUUAGUCUCGAUGACCUUGAUCCAGAGGGCAGCACAAGCCAGUUAUUUUGUAGAUUGUCCCUUAAUUGAGACUUGUUUAUGUCCUCGUGCUUAGAUGCAAAUUUGCGUAUUUGGCAGGAAUGCCACAGGAAACACGUGAUGUGUCCCGUUGCUGGAGCGGCUGAUUUCGGCGUCUUGGUUAAAAUGGUGUCUGGCGGCCUUCUUACUAGGACAGUUACCUUUUUUUCUCUUUGUCAGUCGUGUGCUGUGAAUCCCCACCUCCCUCAGACUUAGCCUGUAUGUAUUGUUCUCACCAACUCAGUUAGAGUGUCCUGAUUAUUGGCAGAUGGCCUCUUUUCUUUGCUGCUGCUGGAUUUAAGACAAUCUUGCUUUGCAGCCUGGGUUGGGCUUUUGAGAUUCCCUAACCAGUUGCAGGGCAAGAUUACUAACACACACCACCACGCUUGGGUCGGGGAGCACUCAGGUGCCUGCAGAGGCCAAAAGAGAGUGGCAGAUUCCUUGUGGGCAUUUGUGAGCUGUGUACUGUGGAUGCUGGAUCCACGACGGAGCAGCAAGCAUCCUUAGCCGUCGAGCCAUCUCCAGCCACCCAUACCCCACUCACCUUUUUUUGUUUUUUUGGUUUUUUUUUGGUUUUUUAAGACAGGGUUUCUGUAGACCAGGCUGGCCUCGAACUCAGAAAUCCGCCUGCCUCUGCCUCCCAAGUGCUGGGAUUAAAGGAGUGUGCCACCACGCCCGGCCCACAUGCCUUUUUAAGAUGGUAUCUAACUGUGUUGCCUACCUGGGCUCAGACUUUUGGACUGAAGUACACUUGUCUUGGCCUCCCUCGUUCCCUCAUAGCUACAACUUCACACCACUUUACACAAGGAACCUGGAGCUAAGUUCUGUUGAGAGGACCUUGAUAUGUGCCCAGGCUGGCCUGAAAUUCUCAAUGCUCCUGCCGUCCCCUCUUGAAUGCUAGGAUUAUCAUCUGUCACCAUGCCAGGCUGUCUAAAUUCAAGAGAUUGCCCUGAUUCUGAUGGGAAACAAAGACAGAUAUAUUAAAAUUGGACCAGAAAGUGGUGGUGGUGGGGGGGUUGUCUGUCUGUCUCAUGUGGCCCAGGCUGGCCUCAGACUGGUUAUAUAACUAAAGGUUACUUAGAACUUCUGAUCUGCUGCCUCAUCUUCCUGAGUACUAGAGUCAGGAUGGUGUUGCUGCUGCCAUCCCAGUUUUAUGUGGUGUUGGGGAAUCAAACCAAGGAAGAAGCUUAGGCGCGCUGGGCAGGCCUGCUCCUGGCUGAGCUGUCCCCAGCCCUGGCUGGUCUGUGCUGUUGCUUGGAGAACAGUCUCUCAUAGCCUAUUGUCAGUUAUUAAUGGUUUUUUUUUUUUUUUUAAGAUUUAUUUAUUACAUGUAAGUACACUGUAGCUGUCUUCAGACACACCAGAAGAGGGCGUCAGAUCUCGUUAUAGAUGGUUGUGAGCCACCAUGUGGUUGCUGGGAUUUGAACUCUGGACCUUCGGAAGAGCAAUCAGGUGCUCUUACCCACUGAGCCAUCUCACCAGCCCUAUGAAUGGGUUUAUUAAGUAUAUAGCAAGCCGAAGUAAAAGGAUAGGGAGGGAGGGAAAAAUAGAUAGAUGAUUGAUUGAUUGAUUGAUUGAUUGAUAAUGAAGAGAGGAACCCUCUCUGCUGCACCCAAAUAAGAAC